rnacentral:lncRNA from 1 species
UGAACACACUGGUAUGUAGUAGAGAGCUCUGGAUGGUCAGUGAUGAAAUGCUGGGGUGCUCCUUGGCUCUUGGCUAUCAAUGAACAAGGGAAGGUUUUCAUACAACCAUCUCACAGGCCAGACAGGCAUCCUGAAGCCAUAUCCUCCAACCCCACCUGUGGUUGCCUGUGAAGGGCAAUGCGCCUUGAAUGCUCUCCUCAGUGCACAUGAGGACCUGAUUCUCUAUUCGGACCCACCAAGCAAGUUCAAAGCCUCAGCAGAAGAAAAGGCCAAACAAGAAAUUAUCCCAAGCCUGGCAGCAUUUCCACUUCCUAUAUUUUAUUAUCCACCUCCUCCAGAUGAAGGGAAAUGGAACAGUGAAAGAAAGAAAAGCCAAGGAGAAAAAGGUCUGGGUGCAUAUCCAAGCCACCCAACUGUGACAGUGAAACACCAUACGUGCAAGCUUGAGAAGAUGACCUACAUGAACCUAAUGAGGUCCAGCAAGGCCAAGUGCAAGGUGCCAUGGUAAUCCCAGAUAGUGAGAUGUGGCCUUGGGCAACCUGGUCUGAUGGGGGGCAACCAGAACACAGCAG